AUUAAUGUAUUAUUUUAUUAUGCCUUAGUUUUAUAACUAAAAUCCUUUCGCAGCGAGCGAAUCCAAUCAGGGGAAGGUGCGUCGUAAAGGAUGGUCCGCCUAUUAUUUUACUUAAUUUAUGUUGGUGUAUAUCUGGUUUGAUAUUAUUGCCUAAUGGCUUAAUUUGUGUAGGAGGUAUUUAAGCCAAGUCUAUGUGCUGCUUAAUUAAGUGUUCGUGCGUUACAUUUAUAAUACUAUUUGGUGAAAUACUGUUAUAGGGUAUUCAGGACUUGAUAGUAAUAUGGAAUUAGUUUGUCUGUGUGAAUUUAAUUUAGUUCGGGUACACACCGCCCGUCACCCUCGG
rnacentral:rRNA from 1 species